ACGGGGAUCCAAAGUGUGCUUGCACAUGAUGGAUUCUAGUGGCGGACGGGUGAGUAAUACGUGAACAACCAACCCCCUACAGUGGAAUAACAGUGGGAAACCAUUGCUAAUACCGCAUGAGACCACGCUCUCACAUGAGAAAGUGGUUAAAGGAGCAAUCCGGUAGAGGACGGGUUCGCGGCCCAUUAGAUAGUUGGUAGGGUAACGGCCUACCAAGUCAGCGAUGGGUAGCCGGGCUGAGAGGCUGAACGGCCACACUGGGACUGAGACACGGCCCAGACUCCUACGGGAGGCAGCAGUGGGGAAUAUUGGGCAAUGGGCGAAAGCCUGACCCAGCAACGCCGCGUGAAGGAAGAAGGUUUUCGGAUUGUAAACUUUUGUCCCAUGGGAAGAAACAAAUGACGGUACCAUGGGAGGAAGCCCCGGCUAACUACGUGCCAGCAGCCGCGGUAAUACGUAGGGGGCGAGCGUUGUCCGGAAUUACUGGGCGUAAAGGGCGCGUAGGCGGCCUAUUAAGUUCAUCGUGAAAUCCCCGGUUUCAAGCUGGGUGUGGCGGUGAAAACUGAUGGGCUUGAGUGCGGGAGAGGAAAGUGGAAUUCCAAGUGUAGCGGUGAAAUGCGUAGAGAUUUGGAGGA
rnacentral:rRNA from 1 species